GAAAAUAAAAGUGCAAAAAUGAGAAGAACGCCAACCUAAACAUCCAAGGAGGUGCGGUGAUUAGAGGGUAUGGUCGGGGUGACAACGACGAUGUUGUGGUUCAUGGUAAAAUAUGGUGGUCCCUGGAGGAUCUCUUUCUCGCGGCGAAGAUAUGGCUCACGUCAUCGAGGGUCGUGAAUGAGCAGCGAUGGGAGUAGGAGGAUGGUAUGGGGAUGUGCAUGGCGGAGGCGCGACUAAGAGGUGAGCUUGGUUUGUUUUUUCGGUUCCGACUUCAAUUGUAUUUUGAUUUCCACUUGGUACAAUUCUGAUGUGAAUUUGAUCCUAGUUUAGUGUUCUUAAUUUUUUUUACAAAGGUAUUUGUUUAUGAGUUUGAAACUGGUAUGAUUUUUUUUAUUUGAACAGUAGUAUAAUUAGGAUUUGAAACUUAGUUAUGAUUUUUUUUAUUUGAACAAUAGUAUAUGAUUUAACUCGAUCUUGACUCAAUUUGGUAUCGACUUAGUUUUGGAAUGGUUACGACUUGUUUAGUAUUGAUUUUGGUUUGUAUUGGUUUCAGAAAAAUUGGUGUUGAAUUUCAAAGAACCUAUACUAGUCUCAGUAAGUUUAAGUUAAACAGAAACAUUGGUAUUGUUUUGGGUUUUUAUAGGGUAUUGGUCUUUGGAUUUGAAUCAGUUAUGACUUAGUUCGGUUUUGAGUAUUUUUUUAAAAAAACUUGACUCAUGAUAUUUGUUUAAAAAAUAUUUGAUUCGCGAUACUUGUUUAAAAAAAUUUAAUUCACUAUACUUGUUCAAAAAAGUUUAAUUCAUGGUUUCAAGUAGUUAUUAUGCACAAAGAGGACUAUUAUGAAUAUGUGAGUUAGUUUGAAGCUAAUUAUGUUUAUUUAUUUACAUGAAAACUAUACUACAAGAAACAUAUCACAAC
rnacentral:lncRNA from 1 species